rnacentral:misc_RNA from 1 species
GUGGGAGCGGGCUUGCUCGCGAAUGCGGUGUGUCAGUCACUUCAUAGCUGACUGAUCUACCGCAUUCGCGAGCAAGCCCGCUCCCAC